rnacentral:rRNA from 1 species
GAUGAACGCUGGCGGCGUGCUUAACACAUGCAAGUCGAACGGCAGCAUGGUGCAGUUUACUGUACUGAUGGCGAGUGGCGGACGGGUGAGUAACGCGUAGGAAUACACCUUUAGGACUGGGACAACUUGUGGAAACGCGAGCUAAUACCGGAUAAUAUCUGAGGAUAAAAGCUGGGGACCUUAGGGCCUGGCGUCUAGAGAGUAGCCUGCGUCUGAUUAGCUAGUUGGUGGGGUAAGGGCCUACCAAGGCGACGAUCGGUAGCUGGUCUGAGAGGGUGGACAGCCACACUGGGACUGAGAGACGGCCCAGACUCCUACGGGAGGCAGCAGUGGGGAAUAUUGGACAAUGGGGGGAACCCUGAUCCAGCGAUGCCGCGUGUGUGAAGAAGGCCUGAGGGUUGUAAAGCACUUUAGGUGGGGAGGAGGAUUUAUUGGUUAAGAGCUGAUGAAUUGGACGUUACCCACGGAAUAAGCACCGGCUAACUCCGUGCCAGCAGCCCGCCGUAA